UUGAAUCUAACGAACAAACUACUGACCGAUCGACCACCUGGGAACUGGAGUGUGCCGUCAAUUAACCGCAGCUUAAUCAACGAACGCUGGGUGGCCUUUGUUCGUUUGCUGAACAUGUGGCAGCGGCCAAUUUAAACUCCCGAACGGCCAGCGGUGUUCAGCUCCAAAUCUAUGGAACUCAAAACGGACACUUAUUUGCAUGAACACCGCUGAGCCG